rnacentral:rRNA from 1 species
UGUGUGCGAGUCAUGGGUCUUGAAUAGGCCCAGAGGCGCAAUGAAAGCAAAGGCCGGAGGACUCCGGCCGUGUCGGGAUCCCUGCAGUUCUUCUGUGGGGCGCACCGACGACCCGCCCCGUUCCACUCGUGGAUGAGGCGGAGUCCGAGCACACACGUUGUGACCCGAAAGAUGGUGACCUAUGCCCGGACAGGGUGAAGACAGAGGAAACUCUGUUGGAAGCUCGUAGCGGUUCUGACGUGCAAAUCGAUCGUCAGAUCCGGGUUUAGCGGCGCUAGACUAAUCGAACCAUCUA